GGUAUGUGUAUCCUAUAUUGCAGAUGUUGAUCAUGAAGAGAUUGUAGCUGAACAGAUGGUGAAAUCCACUGAUAAUUGGGGACAUGGGAGGAGAGUUGUUGAAUUAGGGGUGUUGACAGAUGCUCUAAAGGCCUGUGGCAUGCCAUUACAGCUCACUCAUGCUGUAGAUAUCCAGACUUAUGGACUAUUGACUAUCAUAAAGGUUUGAAUAUGAUGUCUCCAGUAUGGAUAUGUUUGACGAUUUUUACCAUGGAAACAAACUCACAGACCAACAUGUUUUGAACAUGAUGUCUCCAGCAAGGAUAUGUUUGAUGAUGGUUACCAUGGGAAUGAACUAAAAAAUGUCUUUUUCUGAUAGAAUAGACAUAAUGCUAUCCAUUUCAUUCAAUUUUAGAAUUUUUUAAUUAUUCUCAUGUCAGUCAUACCUUUCCAUUUUUUUAACAGGUUUUGAACAUGAUGUCUCUAGCAAGGAUAUGUUUGAUGACGGUUACCAUGGAAACGAACUCACGGACCUAUGUCAAAAAUGUAUUUUUCUGAUAAAAUAAAUAUAAUGCUAUCCAUUUCA